rnacentral:rRNA from 1 species
AUUGAACGCUGGCGGCAGGCCUAACACAUGCAAGUCGAGCGAGCGGCGGACGGGUGAGUAAUGUCUGUCAAACUGCCUGAUGGAGGGGGAUAACUCCUGGAAACGGUAGCUAAUACCGCAUACCAUCAGAUGUGCCCAGAUGGGAUUAGCUAGUAGGUGGGGUAACGGCUCACCCAAGCGACGAUCCCUAGCUGGUGUGAGAGGAUGACCAGCCACACUGGGACUGAGACACGGCCCAGAAGCCUACGGGAGGCAGCAGUGGGGAAUAGUGGACAAUGGGGGAAAGCCUGAUGCAGCCAUGCCGCGUGUGUGAAGAAGGCCUUCGGGUUGUAAAGCACUUUCAGCGGGGAGGCGUUACCCGCAGAAGAAGCACCGGCUAACUCCGUGCCAGCAGCCGCGGUAAUUC